GUUGUUGUAGCUUAAGGAGAGUGUGGCUGUGAAGAUGCUGAGGUAUUUUUUUCAACGAUU
rnacentral:tRNA from 1 species